CCUACGGGAGGCAGCAGUGUGGAAUAUUGGUCAAUGGACGAGAGUCUGAACCAGCCAAGCAGCGUGAAGGAUGACUGCUCUAUGGGUUGUAAACUUCUUUUAUAAAGGAAUAAAACGAGGCACGUGUGCCUUUCUGCAUGUACUUUAUGAAUAAGGAUCGGCUAACUCCGUGCCAGCAGCCGCGGUAAUACGGAGGAUCCGAGCGUUAUCCGGAUUUAUUGGGUUUAAAGGGAGCGUAGAUGGGUUGUUAAGUCAGUUGUGAAAGUUUGCGGCUCAACCGUAAAAUUGCAUUUGAUACUGGCAGUCUUGAGUACAGUUGAGGUAGGCGGAAUUCGUGGUGUAGCGGUGAAAUGCUUAGAUAUCACGAAGAACACCGAUUGCGAAGGCAGCUUACUAAACUGUGACUGACGUUGAUGCUCGAAAGUGUGGGUAUCAAACAGGAUUAGAUACCCUUGUAGUC
rnacentral:rRNA from 1 species